ACGAAGGGUGCUAGCGUUGUUCGGAAUCACUGGGCGUAAAGCGCGCGUAGGCGGCUUAACAAGUCAGAGGUGAAAGCCUGGAGCUCAACUCCAGAACUGCCUUUGAAACUGUUAAGCUUGAGUGUCGGAGGGGAUAGCGGAAUUGCUAAUGUAGAGGUGAAAUUCGUAGAUAUUAGCAGGAACACCGGUGGCGAAGGCGGCUAUCUGGACGACAACUGACGCUGAGGCGCGAAAGCGUGGGGAUCAAACAGGAUUAGAUACCCUGGUAGUCCACGCUGUAAACGAUGGGUGCUAGCCGUAGGGGGGAUACCUCUCUGUGGCGCAGCUAACGCGUUAAGCACCCCGCCUGGGGAGUACGGUCGCAAGAUUA
rnacentral:rRNA from 1 species